UCGACCCCGAUAGGAUGAAAGGCAAAAUCGUCCUCGGCGGAAUUUGAACUCAGAACGUAACGGCAGACGAAACACCGCUAAGCAUUUCGCCCGGCGUGCCAACAUUUCUGCCAGCUCGGCGCCCUGUCUUAUUCUUAAUAAAUAAAACGCAAUUAGUAUUUCGUUAGUUACACUAGUAGAAAAAAACAACGGAGUGGAUGUGAGUGAUAGUGAGAGACCUGCUGAAAGCCAGCGACCUGUAAGUGAAGAGUUUAGUUCUGCUAACCAACCGGCCGUGAAUGCCCCCCUUCAGAUCAUUGCUAGCAUUUAUCCACAGUGAUUUAAAUAAGGUGCAGAAGAUGAGUACAAACCAAUGGAAUUCCCUGCAGAAACUUUCCCCUAUCCCAGCUUUUCCUAUCAGGCCAACAUAUUUAUGGCUGCCACCAUCUAAAAUCGGUGAGAUAAAAGGUAGGUCAGGAGAGAUUAUGGAGUUAAGGAGAUGUGCAUUUGCAUGGGUCUGAUGGAGUUGUGGAGGUAGGUUUUCUGUAGUCUGAUGCUCUUCCUGUUGCCAAACUUCAUCUAUUCUCCAUGAGACAAUAAUUGAAUUUUAUCAACAAAAUCAAUGAUUAUUAGUUGUGCUAACCCAAGGAGCUUGGCAUUUGUCAUUUAGGGGCCAGGUAGCCACCUUAUAAACAAAUAAUACUCAACUUAUUCCAGUGGUUUGAACAUCAGGGAGACUCUGAUUGAUUUACUUUGUGUGGGAAGGAGGCCAGCUUAUAACUUCUUUGCAGCUCCAAAAACUGAAGUGCAAUUUUAUUUAGGGAAGCAUUUCUCUAUAUGGCAAACACCAAUGAAAUGUAGAAUUGUGUUUGAAGGGGAAAAGCCCUCUCAGAGAUAGAUUGAUUUAGAUGAAUGGUUCCCAGCUAGGGUCCGUAUUAGAUCUUUUGGGGUCUACACAAGCAAAAUAGUAAAUUGGGGAUCCUCGGUAGUAUUUGAAGGGUCCAUUUUUUUAAUAUAUUUAUUGCAAAAGACAGUUUGGUUUCUUUCUCUGAUGUUUUACAGAAUUUAAGGUUUCCGGCCACUGAAACAUGUGUCUCUCAGAGAGUGUUAUUGCAAACCCAUACAAGUGAAUGUGGGGGCAAAAAUGAAAUAGGAAUUUUGAAAGAAGUAUCUAUAAAGCUAGUUUUGAAACAUGGAAUGCCUAUGAGGGUCCACCAGGAUAAAAUAGUA